AUGGAGUCUGACUGUAAGUCACUCUGGAUAACAGUGUCUGCUAAAUGACUAAAA
rfam:Salmo salar isolate Sally breed double haploid chromosome ssa09, whole genome shotgun sequence.